rnacentral:lncRNA from 1 species
GCCAUUUCCAUGCAAUACAACAAUAAGAGUCUUAGUGUUCGAUUUUUAUAUAAUUUUACAAUUUUAGUCUUUACUGUGUUCCACUUGUCCAAACUCAAAACAAGUCUAAUAUUUAGUCAAAUUUUCGAUAAAGAAUGCAAUGACUAUAACCAAUUCAAUGUUCUUGAAUCAACAUAUAUCUUAGAGAAACAUGCACAUGUGUAAGAAUUUAGAAUUGCAUUGUUUGCAGAGGAAUGCUAGCAACACUCUCUUUUGAGCACUCUGUCUAGAACUCGCUCUUUUAUUUUAUUUUGCAAAACAACUUUCUAUACUGAGAGGAAAUUAAACAAUAAACACACUUGACACUUCAUUUAAUUGACACAUAGUUUUACAAAUUUCCCUCUAAAAAAGCGCAAAGGUUUUUGCAACUUGUAUUACAUAGAGCUUGAAUGGGAAAAGGAGGGGUUAUUACAGUAUAUGUUUUAUUUUGGAAGGGAGGGAGGGCUUACAAGAUACAUUACAAACUACUUUAUGAUUGUAAUGUGUGUCAUGGCUGGCUGCUUAUUGACAGGGAGGAAUACUACUUGGGCCAUCAGCAUUUGGACGGAAUAAAAGCUAUCUACAUGCAGUUUUCCCACCCAAGAGUCUUCCAGUAUUAGAUACUCUAGCAAACCUUGGCCUCAUAUUCUUUCUAUUUUUAGCAGGCAUAGAGUUGGAUCCUAAAUCUCUGGGAAAAACUGGAGGUCGAGUCCUUGCAAUUGCUAUGGUCGGAAUAAGCUUACCCUUUGCACUGGGAAUUGGUUCAUCAUUUGUUCUGAAAGAAACGAUUGCCAAAGAUGUAAAUACUUCCGCAUUUCUUGUAUAUAUGGGAGUUGCUCUCUCUAUAACUGCUUUUCCUGUAUUAGCUCGUAUUUUGGCCGAGUUAAAACUUUUAACCACCAGUGUCGGACGAAUGGCUAUGUCGGCUGCAGCAGUUAAUGAUGUAGCAGCCUGGAUUCUUCUUGCUCUAGCUGUUGCCUUAUCAGGCAAUAGCCAGUCUCCUCUUGUUUCACUGUGGGUCUUCUUAGCUGGGUGUGGUUUUGUCGUUUGUUCGAUCCUCAUUGUCCUUCCAAUUUUCAAAUGGAUGGCCCAACAAUGCCAUGAAGGUGAGCCGGUCGAUGAGUUAUACAUAUGUGCUACAUUAGCUUCUGUUCUGGCUGCUGGGUUUGUCACAGAUGCUAUUGGAAUUCAUGCCAUGUUUGGCGCUUUUGUUUUUGGAAUUUUGGUUCCAAAAGACGGACCAUUUUCUGGUGCUCUUGUGGAGAAAAUAGAGGAUCUUGUCUCUGGUUUAUUGCUCCCACUUUAUUUUGUGUCAAGUGGAUUGAAGACCAACAUUGCUACCAUUCAGGGGCUGCAAUCUUGGGGUCUUCUCGUUUUUGUCACAUUUACUGCUUGUUUUGGGAAGAUUGUUGGGACUAUUGUUGUGUCUCUUUUAUGUAAAGUGUCUUUUAAUGAGUCUUUAGUGCUUGGAUUCUUGAUGAAUAGUAAAGGCUUGGUUGAAUUAAUUGUCCUCAACAUUGGUAAAGAUCGAAAGGUAUUUGAAUUUUCUUGCUCUCACUAUUUCCUAUAUAGUAUAAUUUGGUUCAUGUUCACGUCCUAUGAAUCACUAUGAUGGAUAUUUGAUGCAUGCAUCUGCAGGUUUUGAAUGACGAAACCUUUGCCAUUAUGGUUCUCAUGGCUCUCGUUACUACAUUCAUGACCACUCCUCUUGUGAUGGCUGCGUAUAAGAGGAAAGCAAAAAUAUCUGAUUACAAAUACAAAACAGUUGAAAGGAAAAAUGCAGACAGCGAGUUGAGGAUUCUUGCCUGCUUCCAUGGUGCAAGGAAUAUUCCGUCGGUGAUAAACUUGAUCGAGGCUUCAAGAGGAAUCAAGAAGCGCGACGCACUUUGUGUGUAUGCAAUGCACCUUAAAGAAUUUUCCGAGAGAUCCUCAUCGAUACUAAUGGUACAAAAAGUAAGAAAAAACGGGUUGCCAUUUUGGAAUAAAGGUCACCGUGCAGAUUCUGACCAUGUUAUUGUGGCAUUUGAGGCUUACCAGAAACUAAGUCAAGUUUGUGUUCGUCCAAUGGUAGCAAUCUCCUCAAUGGCUAACAUUCACGAAGACAUAUGUGCUACCGCUGAAAGAAAGAGAGCCGCAGUCAUCAUUCUCCCAUUCCAUAUGCAACAAAGAUUAGAUGGUUCACUAGACGUUACAAGAAAUGAUUUUCGAUUUGUUAACAAAAGGGUACUCGAGCAUGCACCAUGCUCAGUUGGAAUUUUUGUUGAUCGCGGACUUGGUGGUACAUGUCAUGUGUCUGCAAGUAAUGUUUCUUAUUGUGUGGCUGUGCUUUUCUUUGGUGGUGGUGAUGACCGUGAAGCUCUUGCUUACGGAGCUCGUACGGCCGAGCACCCUGGCAUAAGAUUAGUGAUUAUUCGCUUCUUAGUGGAAUCUACUAUUUUAGGGGAGAUUAGCAGCGUUGACGUUGGAGACUCAUCAAUCGGUAAAUCAAUCUCAGAGGAUGAGGAGUUCCUUGCGGAAUUUAAGCUGAAAACAGCCAGUGAUGACUCCGUUAUCUACGAAGAGAAAAUAGUAAAAGAUGCUGCCGAAACAGUUGCUAGUAUCCGCAAGUUUAAUUCCUGCAAUCUGUUUCUUGUGGGUCUAAGGCCAACCGGUGAAUUGGCCUGUGCUCUGGAAAGAAGGGAGUGCCCGGAACUAGGACCUGUUGGUGGCUUGUUGAUAUCCCAAGAUUGCCCCACAACAGCAUCGGUUUUGGUGAUGCAACAGUAUCAUAAUGGGGUGCCAAUGAAUUUUGUCCCAGAAAUGGAGGAACAUUCACAUUCACACGAAGGAGACACAUAAUCUGCUUAACUAUUCUGUUAUAGUAUAGUUGCGGAACACAAACUUGGGAUGGGAAUAAGAUUUCUAAUCUGCAUUGGACCCGAUUCUACAUAAAUAAGAAAGUUUAUUUGACUAAAAUUUGUUAGGUGUCCAACAAAUUAUUCCACUGAAUUGAAUAUAAAUACUCUAUAUUUUUGUUACGAUUAUUGUCUACUUAAAAGCUUAUGUUUGUUGGUUUAUAUAAAUACUUGGGCUUAUAUUGUUACAUUCAUUUUAGAGGUAUGUUUGUGUGAUAGGUAUAAAAACAAGUUUCUACAAUGUUUGUCAAUUGGAAAAGGGACUAAUUGCCUAUUUGGAUUAGCGUUUUCAACUCGUUGACUCAGGUUUACAAGCCUUCACCGUAGUUUUUACAGGUUGUUUUUUCUCAAAGCAAUUCUUGGGUAAAAAGAAACUAUGAGCACCUACAUCGGUGCUUUUUGUGUGUCAUUCAUUGACCAAUGAUAUUGUGUAUAUUGUGUCAUAGUUAAGCUACCCACUUUCUUUUACUUUUGGAUUAAAAACUUUGUAAAAUUAAAAUUUGGAGUAUAUUUUGAGAUUAAUAAAACCAAUUUUAGAGUUUUUGAUGAAUUGUAUAGAUAUUUAAAAAAUAGUUGAAAUAGUACAAAAGUACUCAAACAGUGUUUUUAUGUAAUUCAUUCAAAACUUUUACCAUGAAUUUGCAAGCAAUUUGAUGUCUCUUGAGGCCACACAGUUUUUCCUCUAUGGUUGAAUAUACAUUUUUUUUCCCUGCAAACAGUUAAUUUUCGUUUUGACAAGUGCAAACAGUUUCCAACCCUUUUAUUAAAUUAAAGCAAAUAAAAUAAAGGCAUCCAUUUUAAUAGGUCAUCCAAGGAAGAGUCCAUGCCACCACCUCCUCCUCACUAAGAGGAAGAGACAAAUAAAAUAUAGAGAAUCCUAUGAUAGUACUAUUUAUUAAAAGAAAUAUUUGUUUUCUUGUAGCCUCCAAUAUGCUUCAAGUACAGUGCAAUGAGUACAUUAUGCCAACUUCUCCUCCUAAGUGAGAUACGUGAGAAACCUAAUUCUUCCACUUGUUAAUUGGAUCAUUUAAAAUUAAGACGGUGGGACUUAAAAGAUUAAAUGGGGAAUUAUACCUUAUUCCCCUUUUAGGGGUUUUCGGCGUGUGGUCCCGAAGCCGACAAUUUUGAAACUUUUUUUUAUUUUUAUUUAAACACCUCAAAACCGACUUAAAGUGGAAACAUUUCCUAGUUUGUGUGAUUGAUUCUGACGAUCGCUUUCUACAUCUUUUCCUCUUAUUUCUCUCCUUCACCACUACAAGUUAAAUAGGUGCUUUUUCUAAGCUUUUUUUUUUUCUUUUGCUAAGCUUUUCCACUUGAAAUAUUUCACACCAUAUUUUAGGAAAAUGAAUGAUGCAUUUUCCAACUCAGUUAAGUUAGUUGCAUGUUAUUUUGUUCCUGGAGUUUGAAUUGCAUGUUGUCAUUGGCUAUUUUCCAAAACACUGACACCGGAUACACGACACUGAUACAAACACGUUGACAUUGGUUAAAAUUUGAAAAAAAUGAACUAAUUGAAUGUAAUGGCGUGUGCUGUUUCGUGUCUGACACGUCUCAGAUACCGGACACACCUGUGUCGGUGCUACAAUGCUAUUUUCAGGUCUUAAUUUUAUCAGUUACUGAUGUCUGUGUAGUUGUGUCCUUUUUGCAGAAAAUAUUUGAAUUAGAGGUAUCGGAAUGACUUCCAAUACCACAUCUGGAAAUGUUUGCCCGCCGCCGAUGCAGCCAGCGUCUAAUGGUGUAUUUCAGGGAGAUCACCCUCUUGAUUAUGCACUUCCCUUGGCUAUUUUACAGAUAUGUCUUGUUCUUGUGGUCACAAGGGGACUGGCCUAUCUUCUAAAUCCUUUAAGGCAACCUCGAGUUAUUGCAGAGAUUGUUGUAGGUUCUUUUAUUUUUAUUUAAGUAUUUACUUAAUCUUAUGAAGUAGUUUUUUUGUUAACUGAUACUAAUAAUUGAUAUUUGUAAGAAAUUUUAUAUCUUAGAAACAAGUGGGGAAAUUGGCAAACAAUACAACAAUAAGAGCCUUGAGUGUUCCAUUUUUAUACGAUUUCACAGUUGAGUUUUAAAUGUAUUCUACUUGUCCAAACUCAGAAACAAGUCAUUUAGUCAAUUUUUCAUGUAGAAGUUAGAAUGCAAUAUGACUAUAAAAUAUUCAUUGUUCUUAAAUCAACAAUAGAUGUUAGAGAAAUAUAUAUACAUGCCAAAAUGUGCACAUGUGUAAGAGAAAUUAAAAUUGAAUCAUAUGCACAACUACUUUCUAUGUCGCAGAGAGUUUAAACAGACUUGGCACUUCAUUAAAUCCACAUUUGGCCAGUCUUGCUAAUUGCCUUCUAAAAUAGAGAAGAGGUUUUUUCAACUUCUAUUUUUGUGUCUUAAGAUUGCUUAUUGAUGAUGACAGGGAGGAAUACUACUUGGGCCG